rnacentral:rRNA from 1 species
UCUACGGGGGCAGCAGUGAGGAAUAUUGGUCAAUGGACGAGAGUCUGAACCAGCCAAGUAGCGUGAAGGAUGACUGCCCUAUGGGUUGUAAACUUCUUUUAUAUGGGAAUAAAACAGGGUAUGCAUACCCUCUUGUAUGUACCAUAUGAAUAAGGAUCGGCUAACUCCGUGCCAGCAGCCGCGGUAAUACGGAGGCGCCGAGCGUUAUCCGGAUUUAUGGGGUUUAAAGGGAGCGUAGGUGGAUUGUUAAGUCAGUUGUGAAAGUUUGCGGCUCAACCGUAAAAUUGCAGUUGAAACUGGCAGUAUUGAAUACAGUAGAGGUGGGCGGAAUUCGUGGUGUAGCGGUGACAUGCUUAGAUAUCACGAAGAACUCCGAUUGCGAAGGCAGUUCACUGGACUGCAACUGACACUGAGGCUCGAAAGUGUGGGUAUCAAACAGGAUUAGAUACCCCUGUAGUC